UACGUAGGUUGCGAGCGUUGUCCGGAUUUACUGGGCGUAAAGCGCACGCAGGCGGUUCCGAAAGUCGAAUGUGAAAGCUCCCGGCCCAACUGGGAGAGGCCGUUCGAAACUUCGGGACUUGAAGGCGGGAGAGGCAGAUGGAAUUUCCGGUGUAGCGGUAAAAUGCGUAGAUACCGGAAGGAACACCAGUGGCGAAAGCGAUCUGCUGGCCCGCCCUUGACGCUCAGGUGCGAAAGCUAGGGGAGCGACCGGG
rnacentral:rRNA from 1 species